rnacentral:rRNA from 1 species
UUUACGUAGUCCUUCGGGACUCCACGGGAUAAAACGGACUGGCGGCGCACAUAAGACAUGCAAGUGAACGGACUUAACCAUUAGUUUUACGUAUUGGUAGCGGUUAGUGGCGGACUGGUGAGUAACACGUAAGCAACCUGCCUAUCAGAGGGGAACAACAGUUAGAAAUGACUGCUAAUACCGCAUAUGCCAUGAAUAUCACAUGAUAUAAAUGGGAAAGGAGCAAUCCGCUGAUAGAUGGGCUUGCGUCUGAUUAGAUAGUUGGUGGGGUAACGGCCUACCAAGUCGACGAUCAGUAGCCGGACUGAGAGGUUGAACGGCCACAUUGGGACUGAGAUACGGCCCAGACUCCUACGGGAGGCAGCAGCCGGGAAUAUUGCGCAAUGGAGGAAACUCUGACGCAGUGACGCCGCGUGCAGGAAGAAGGUUUUCGGAUUGUAAACUGCUUUAGACAGGGAAGAUAAUGACAGUACCUGUAGAAUAAGCUCCGGCUAACUACGUG